rnacentral:rRNA from 1 species
AGUGAACGCUGGCGGUAGGCCUAACACAUGCAAGUCGAACGGCAGCACAGGAGAGCUUGCUCUCUGGGUGGCGAGUGGCGGACGGGUGAGGAAUACAUCGGAAUCUACUUUUUCGUGGGGGAUAACGUAGGGAAACUUACGCUAAUACCGCAUACGACCUACGGGUGAAAGCAGGGGAUCUUCGGACCUUGCGCGAUUGAAUGAGCCGAUGUCGGAUUAGCUAGUUGGCGGGGUAAAGGCCCACCAAGGCGACGAUCCGUAGCUGGUCUGAGCGGAUGAUCAGCCACACUGGAAAUGCGACACGGUCCAGCCUCCGACGGGAGGCAGCAGUGGGGAAUAUUGGACAAUGGGCGCAAGCCUGAUCCAGCCAUACCGCGUGGGUGAAGAAGGCCUUCGGGUUGUAAAGCCCUUUUGUUGGGAAAGAAAUCCAGCUGGUUAAUACCCGGUUGGGAUGACGGUACCCAAAGAAUAAGCACCGGCUAACUUCGUGCCAGCCGCCGCCGUAA